GUUGCUUUCUGCACAUAGAACUACAGAGCCCCGAGAUGACCCAAAAAAGAACGUAUGUAAGAAGACAAAUCAACAAUCUGAGGAUGAGGGAGCAAAAAGAUGCCAAAAUCAUCUGAAAUCAUAUACAGCCUGGGAGUAAUAUGCAAAGGGAAGCACUCCAAAACAAAGAAGAAAUGGUGCUGAGAAACAGUGUGGGUUCCAGAAAUCCAACACUUAGGUGACCAGCCAGGACACUCCUCCACUUCAGUCUUUCCAAGCAUCAAAGUCUUUUUCAAUGAGUCAGAUCUUCACAUCUGGACACAACUUAGCAACUAAACAACAACAAAUAUAGACAAUUAAGAUCAAGGAUCUGGAGCCAAAAACCUUGGGUUAAGUCCUAG